AUUGAACGCUGGCGGCAGGCUUAACACAUGCAAGUCGAGCGGAGUGAUGGUGCUUGCACUAUCACUUAGCGGCGGACGGGUGAGUAAUGCUUAGGAAUCUGCCAUUUAGUGGGGGACAACAUUCCGAAAGGAAUGCUAAUACCGCAUACGUCCUACGGGAGAAAGCAGGGGAUCUUCGGACCUUGCGCUAAAUGAUGAGCCUAAGUCGGAUUAGCUAGUUGGUGGGGUAAAGGCCUACCAAGGCGACGAUCUGUAGCGGGUCUGAGAGGAUGAUCCGCCACACUGGGACUGAGACACGGCCCAGACUCCUACGGGAGGCAGCAGUGGGGAAUAUUGGACAAUGGGCGGAAGCCUGAUCCAGCCAUGCCGCGUGUGUGAAGAAGGCCUUUUGGUUGUAAAGCACUUUAAGCGAGGAGGAGGCUCUCCUAGUUAAUACCUAGGAAGAGUGGACGUUACUCGCAGAAUAAGCACCGGCUAACUCUGUGCCAGCCGCCGCAGUAACAC
rnacentral:rRNA from 1 species